rnacentral:rRNA from 1 species
UACAGAGGUCCCAAGCGUUAUCCGGAUUCACUGGGUUUAAAGGGUGCGUAGGUGGAAUGACAAGUCAGUGGUGAAAACCUGCAGCUUAACUGUAGAACUGCCAUUGAUACUGUUAUUCUUGAGUACAUUUGAUGUGAGUGGAAUGUGUCGUGUAGCGGUGAAAUGCUUAGAUAUGACACAGAACACCAAUUGCGAAGGCAGCUCACAAAACUGUAACUGACACUGAGGCACGAAAGCGUGGGGAUCAAACAGG